GACGAACGCUGGCGGCGUGCCUAGUACAUGCAAGUCGAGCGGACAGAAGGGAGCUUGCUCCCGGAAGUUAGCGGCGGACGGGUGAGUAACACGUGGGCAACCUACCCUGUAGAUCGGGAUAACAUCGAGAAAUCGGUGCUAAUACCGGAUAAUCAUUUGAAGUGCAUGCUUCGAAUGUAAAAGAUGGCUCCGGCUAUCACUACGGGAUGGGCCCGCGGCGCAUUAGCUAGUUGGUAAGGUAAUGGCUUACCAAGGCAACGAUGCGUAGCCGACCUGAGAGGGUGAUCGGCCACACUGGGGCUGAAACACGGCCCAGACUCCUACGGGAGGCAGCAGUAGGGAAUCUUCCGCAAUGGACGAAAGUCUGACGGAGCAACGCCGCGUGAGUGAUGAAGGUUUUCGGAUCGUAAAGCUCUGUUGUUAGGGAAGAACAAGUGCCGUUUGAAUAAGGCGGCACCUUGACGGUACCUAACCAGAAAGCCACGGCUAACUACGUGCCAGCCGCCACCGUAAAAC
rnacentral:rRNA from 1 species